rnacentral:rRNA from 1 species
UACGUAGGGUGCAAGCGUUGUCCGGAAUUAUUGGGCGUAAAGAGCUCGUAGGCGGUCUGUCGCGUCGGCUGUGAAAACCCGGGGCUCAACCCCGGGCCUGCAGUCGAUACGGGCAGACUAGAGUUCGGUAGGGGAGACUGGAAUUCCUGGUGUAGCGGUGAAAUGCGCAGAUAUCAGGAGGAACACCGGUGGCGAAGGCGGGUCUCUGGGCCGAUACUGACGCUGAGGAGCGAAAGCGUGGGGAGCGAACAGG